ensembl:lncRNA
AUGAAAGUUUCAAAAUGGAAGUUAGGAAUUCUUUGUUUUAUAAGUGGAUGUGUAAUGUCUGGUCAGGUGGAUGCUUGUAUUCCUGAUAGAGUUCCAAUGGGACUCUUAAUCACAGAUUGCCCUUAUCCACAACUGAAAACUCUUGAGAUGCAGAGGACUCUUGCCCUAAAAAUCAUUCUUUCCUUUUCUUUUUUUCUACCCACAGAAGCCCCAAGACAGCAACCUGCUGAACCUGAACCAGCCCCAAGGCAACAAACUAGGAAAAGUAAAGGAGAACCAGGCGAACCACCUGAAGGAGAACCAGGUCCACCACCUGAAGGAGAACCAGGCGAACCACCUGAAGGAGAACCAGGUCCACCACCUGAAGGCUCUUCACUUCUUCUAAGGGAGGAGCCAUCUCAGACCUAGCCACAAGCCUACUCACACCAAUAUCUUCAAGGAGAGAAGAAGAAGAAGAAAUAGGUAUUUGGAAAGAUUUCUAUUCUUUAGAUGUGCUGAGAUCAGCUGAACAUAACAAUAUCUAAUUUUUCCACCCAUUUUAUAUUUGGGUCCCUUCAUUUCUCUUCUAUCUUCUACUUACACUUAUGAAAGCUUAAAUGUAUGGAUGAUUUUGUGAUGAAUAUGAACUCUGGCCAAGUGGAUACUUGCAUUCUUCAAGUAAUUCCACUGGUCCUUCAUCAAUAUUACUUUAUCCACAUCUGAAACCUCUUGAGAUUCAUAGGACUCUUGCCUAAACAUUACUCAUUUUUUAUUUUUUCUACCCAGGAGAACCCAGGCGAACCACCUGAAGGUAAGUAAUAUGUCAUCUCUAAACACUCCUUUCUUUCCCCUUUUCUUGAGGACCCUAGACCUUGUCCUCAUUUUAAACCAUUUGGCACUCCACUCUUAAAGUUCAGUACCAAGAAGAGAGGGUAAUAAUGAACUAACAGGGUGGUCAGCUUAAAAGGCUUGUUUUCUCU